rnacentral:pre_miRNA from 1 species
UUUAGAAUUCCUACGCUUUACCGUUGCAUAUGAAAUUAGGCAAAGCGUUUGGAUUCUGGAAC